rnacentral:rRNA from 1 species
AGGGGGCAAGCGUUAUCCGGAAUUACUGGGUGUAAAGGGAGCGUAGACGGUGAUGCAAGUCUGGAGUGAAAGGCGGGGGCCCAACCCCCGGACUGCUCUGGAAACUGUGCAGCUAGAGUGCAGGAGAGGCAGGCGGAAUUCCUAGUGUAGCGGUGAAAUGCGUAGAUAUUAGGAGGAACACCGGUGGCGAAGGCGGCCUGCUGGACUGUAACUGACGUUGAGGCUCGAAAGCGUGGGGAGCAA